rnacentral:rRNA from 1 species
GACGAACGCUGGCGGCAUGCCUAAUACAUGCAAGUCGAGCGGACAGAAGGGAGCUUGCUCCCGGAAGUCAGCGGCGGACGGGUGAGUAACACGUGGGCAACCUGCCCCUUAGAUUGGGAUAACUUCGGGAAACCGAAGCUAAUACCGAAUAAUACAAGGAACCUCCUGGUUCUCUGUUGAAAGAUGGCCUUUGUGCUGUCACUAAGGGAUGGGCCCGCGGCGCAUUAGCUAGUUGGUAAGGUAACGGCUUACCAAGGCGACGAUGCGUAGCCGACCUGGGAGGGUGAUCGGCCACACUGGGACGGGGACACGGCCCAGACUCCUACGGGAGGCAGCAGUAGGGAAUCUUCCGCAAUGGACGAAAGUCUGACGGAGCAAUGCCGCGUGAGUGAGGAAGGCCUUCGGGUCGUAAAGCUCUGUUGUGAGGGAAGAACAAGUACCGGCGUAACUACCGGUACCGUGACGGUACCUCACCAGAAAGCCACGGCUAACUACGUGCCAGCAGCCGCCGCCG